GGCCUGGUGCCACCGAAACACACCAUUUCUUGCUAAAGCAACAUCUGGGUAAGCCUGCUUGAUCGUAUCAAGUUUUCUCUGUCGCAGAUUUACUGAGUUUCACACUGAAUUUAAUUGCGUACCUCUGCUCUAACGAACGCUGCAUUUUCGGCUUGUACCACUCACAGAAACACGUCACGCGAAAAUCCCUGUCCUGACUCUACAGGUGCUCGUAGACAACUGACUAUCCGCUUGUUCCUUAGCUAGAAACGCCCUCUACCGAAUCCAAUCAGUGCGUGCACGCGUCCUGAAGUACAGUCGCGGCAAAAGAAAAUCAAUCCUAUUACUUUUUGGACAAAUCUUGUAUCUCAAUGUUCAUCAUUGAUUUUAUUUUCUGAGAUCAUACGCUGUUUUACAGUUGCAGAGGAGGCAUCAGUACAGUGGGCGUGUUGAGGUGGUCACAAGUCAGACCCGAUCGAAGAGCUGAAGAACGCGUUUGAACUCGCUGAGAGAGCAAGUCCUGGCAUCAGCGACCAGUUUGUGCGAGAGAUGGUGCAGAAGCUACUGCCGGCCACAUCCGAGCCACGCCUCAAGACCAUUAUGGACAGGAUCACAAGAGAUCCAUCGUAGGUUGUCCCGCCACUGCCCCGCCUGUCGUGGGUCAGCCCGUAGCCGCGGUCCGCCUGAUUGUUGGCCUGGGUUGCUGACUAACAAGCCUUGACACGACUUAUCCGAACGUCGUCACUUAAGUGUUUCUUGUUGAUGUACAAAUGUAAACAAAUCCAUGAGAGUAUAAUAAACAUUCUAAACAUUAUUGUUUUAUAUUUAUGUUACAUAUUUCAUGUAAAGUCGUAUACAGUACGUGUGCCACCUGUAAACUUGAUCUUCUACAGGGUAUACAAUUGGUUGGCAGUUCAUUACAGUACUGGUUUAUUUCUUCAAAUGAUCAUUGUUUACAAACCGUUAUGGAUCGAUUAUUAUUGUUAUAUUGAUCAAUAUUGUGACUAGUUUUAUAUUUUUUUUUGCAAUAAAUCAUGUAUAUUUAUGCCAUCUCCUAAUUUUUACAUGUUGUUAGGUUUAUUUCUGGUUUGGAUUGAAUUUAUAUAGUUGUUAUUAUAUGCAGUAAAAUAAAUUUUAAAUAAAGACCGAAUUCUUCACUUUGUGGUCAGAUAACUGUAAAGCACUCCGUAAACUUUAGCGUGUACAACAAAGAAAAUUUCUAUUAUUUAUUUAAAUAUUUAGUUUUAAGUUAUAAAAUUCAUGAAUAUUUUAAAUGAAUAUAAAAAGUAGUGACGAAUAUUGUUUAAAUGGAAAGAUAAAAAUCUAUUUAUAUAAAUGUAUUUUGAAUGAAAUUUUGUUUGUUACUGGUAUCAAUAGAAAUAAAUAUAAUAUUGUAUAA